rnacentral:rRNA from 1 species
UACGUAGGGGCCUAGCGUUGUCCGGAAUUAUUGGGCGUAGAGAGCUCGUAGGCGGUUCGGCAAGCCGGAUGUGAAAUCUCCACGCUUAACGUGGAGGGGCCAUUCGAAACUGCCGUGACUCGAGUCCGGUAGGGGAGUGUGGAAUUCCCGGUGUAGCGGUGAAAUGCGUAGAUAUCUGGAGGAAUACCGGUGGCGAAGGCGGCAUCCUGGACCGGCAUUGACGCUGAGGAGCGAAAGCUAGGGGAGCAAACGGG